GGGAAUGUGCCUCACUGGUAGAGUGUCUUCCUGGCAUGCACAAGGGCCUGGGUUUGACCCCCAGCAUCACCA
rnacentral:tRNA from 1 species